rnacentral:other from 1 species
AAUUUCCUGGAAUGUGCGACACUCCUGUUAUUUUGAACCUACAUCUUUAAAAUGGGAAUCCUAAUCUAUAAGUAGAUGCCAGGCCGCCAGUGAGCGGGAGGCAGAAGCUUAUAUGCGGUAUCCCACCUAGCUCGGCUAGGAAUCAAAAUGCAGGAACCGGCAUUUUGGGUUUUUU